UGAAAGGAGCAGUUGGAAUGACAACGGGGCGCUUUGACCACAUGUUCAAGAUCUACAACUACAAGCCUGCCUGCCUGCCAGACUCUGUUCACUUGCCUUCCUUCGUCUUCUCAUGUUUGGCUUGCCUGCCACUCCACUCCACUCAGUCACUGCCGCCCAUUCCAUUCCAUUCCUCUCAAUCUUUCCGCCCUGCCCACUCGGUCACUGCUGGUCUUUAUUCAAAGGAUCGUUUCCUCUCACUGUUUACUGAUCAAAUGUCUAUUGCUUCGCCCAAGCGGCUAAUCAUUGUUGUUGCAGAGUGGAUGCAUAAGCUUUGAAAUGUUUAAGGAAGACGAGAAGGAUCAGGCAUCCGGUGGAAGUUGGAGGCCAUUCACGAGGUCUGCAUCAUGGACUGAACGUCCACCAAGAAAGUCUAAUUCCAAACCGAAGUUGAACAACAAAGCACGAGCCUGUUUGCCACCGCUUCAGCCUCUUUCUAUUAUCAGACCAAGCAUUGAUGAAUGGCCUAGAGCCGGGUGUGAUGAUCUUGGCAUCUGGCCAAAUCCUCCAACACCUGGUGCAAAUCCCAGAUCAGCGAUGCCUCAGGAGACUUCAAUUUCAGAGCAACAUCCAAGAGAAUUCCAAUGUCAGAAAGACAAACUUGCUUUCUUUGACAAGGAAUGCUCAAGAAUUUUGGAUCACAUUUAUUUAGGAAGUGAUGCAAUAGCCAAGAAUAGGGAAAUUCUUCGCCGGAAUGGAAUCACCCAUGUGCUCAACUGUGUGGGAUUUUCGUGUCCUGAAUAUUUCAAGAACGAUCUUGUGUAUAAGACACUUUGGCUACAGGACUGCCCUUCGGAGGAUAUUACUAGUAUUCUCUAUGAUGUGUUUGAUUAUUUUGAAGAUGUUCAAGAACAAGGUGGGCGCCUUCUUGUUCAUUGUUGUCAGGGGGUGUCUAGAUCAACAUCGUUGGUCAUUGCAUAUCUUAUGUGGAAAGAGGGACAGAGCUUUGAUGAUGCAUUCCAGCAUGUCAAAGAAGCCAGAGGAAUUAUAAACCCAAAUGUGGGGUUUGCUUGUCAGCUUUUGCAGUGCCAGAAGCGUGUACAUGCCCUCCCUGCGAGUCCAACUUCAGUACUUAGGGUGUACAGAAUGGCACCUCACUCGCCAUAUGAUCCCCUUCAUCUUGUGCCAAAAUUGUUACGUCAACCAAGCAUGGACAGACUGGACUGCCGUGGAGCUUUCAUAGUGCAUGUUCCUUCAGCUAUAUAUGUAUGGAUUGGGAAGUAUUGCUCCAAGGUUAUGUCAGACAAUGCCAGGGCAGCUGCCUUUCAAGUUAUCCGUUAUGAAAAGGUCCAGGGUCCUGUUAUAACUGUUAGAGAAGGUGAAGAGACGCCAAGAUUCUGGGAGGCGUUUAGCUACGGAAAUGAUUUAGCUGAUUCGUCUAAUGUAAAGUCUGGGGAAAGGAGGUUCUUUGUAGCCUCUGCUAAUCAACAUGUUGAUCAACUGAAGCUUGAUGAGUAUGAUCUGGAUUUUGAAAUUUUUCACAAAGCCCUUGCUGGUGGGGUAGUCCCACCUUUUCCAUUGUCAAGAUCAGCAACUGAGACUUGCCUUCCUGCCAUGGAAAACAGCUGGGACAGAUUGAGAAGAAAGAUUGCCAAUAAUCUUGCAAAAGAAAAUUUUCUCUGUACUAAAUUGGGAUCUAAUUCUCUGCAGAUACAUGAUGGCCUAGAGAAUUUGGGUGCAUGUAAAGAGCUCGAAAACAAUGUCUCUCCUUCUGAUUUAUCAAUCCCCUCGAGUAUUCAAUACAAUGCCCCAGAUUCAUUUGCAUCAUAUGUAACUGGUGGUACCUCAGAUUGGACAGAAGGAAGAUCAAAUCCUGAUCGCCAUCUGAAUACUUUGCUUUCUCGCUCACCAUCUUUCAGUUUGGUGGAUUCCUUUUCUUCCUUUUUUGUUAGUAAACAAAAAUCCAAUUUGACAUCGCCAUCUAUUUCACCUUCAACAUCUGGUUGUUCAAGUUUGUUUACCUGCUCACCCUCAUCAUCCAACUUUUCAUUUGUAUCAAGUCAGCCAUCACCAAGCCAUCUUGAUUCCAGAGAUACUGAUCCUUGCAAAAAUGAUCCUCCAGUGGAAGGUUCUUGUUUUGUAGAAAAAGAGUAAAUAUGUGCUUCAUACUGUGGGCCUCAUUCAGAAGCUGCAAUUCCUUCAUUUCAUGUUUCAAGAGUAGCAGAACUUCACUAAAUACUAAGAGAUGAUGUAGGGAUGGAUGUUUGGUGCAAAGACAUGAGUCUUGUACUAUCUUCCUGGAUGGAUGGAGAAAGUCUGUUUCUAAUGCUGGAGUUUGAACAUAUUACAACAUGGAGUAAUGUGUCAUCAAAAGGAAGACAUAAUCAUUUCAUCUGAAUGACAUCAUUCAAUGUGGAGACAGUUGGCCCCAAUCUUCCUGCUGAUGAUUCUGGGAAAAUAAUGAAAUUAAGGCAGGAUGCUAGACUGAUUCAGUGGUUUAAAUUAUGUCUGGGACAUGCAUGCUUGUCGGAAAAGUCCAUGGCCACACAGUUUGUUUCUUUGUUGUCUAAAAUCUUAUUGAACUCUUUAUGCAUCUCAGGUCUUUGUGCACAAUGGUAGAUUUUUUCGGUAUCAUUUGAUCCCCUUAAGGAUUAAUAUGCCUCUCUAAUAAGCUGGAUGUUGAGUUACCUAUUUCAUUAUAUUGAUGUUGGAUGAGGAAUAAGCAUAUCCUUCAUGUGAAGAAUUUUAAAAUAUAUUGGUCGAGCAGCCUACCUUGACUGACUAAAUCUGGAAGGCACAUUAUUGUUUUCUGCUUUUCUAUAAAUCACCUAUUGAUAAACCUAAUAUGAUAUAUAUGUGAGGUGGCAUACUUUGAAGCAAAACUAAAAGGUGAUCUCAACCAGGUCUGGGUUGCAAGUUUACUUGUUCUGCUAAAAAAACAAAAAAAGUCUCAAUGAAUGUGUUGCCGAACACCAAAAUAACAUGCGUAAGUAUUCAUAGUUACAAGCCUUUUCCGUGUUGUAGAGUUGUUUUGAUUACUCUUAUGAUGAUUCCUUUUGAGUGUAUGGAAGGAAUGAUUUUGUCACGAUUUUGUCACAUUUACUGAUGUUUCAGAUGGUUGAGGAAGGUGAAGAACCAGGUGGCUCCCCUAUUUAUUGUUUAGAAAUAUAUAGGCACAAAAAACUGGCUGUGCUUGUAAUAUCCAUGGAGGGGGGGACCUUAUUGAAUUCAUUAGAAGGUAACUUAGGUACAGAUGGGGGGGUUAAGUUUCCCUAUGUUGAAAGAGAACAAAUUUUGUAAAUCCAGUGAUAAUUUACAUAGUUGCACGGCAAUAGGUCUUCCUAUCCUCUAUAUCUUCAGGUGUUGUCAUAAUUUAGAACAAUUUAUUGUGUAUUUUUAUCAAUCAUCACAUCAUUCGAAUAUGAUUAUAUAUCGAAAUUUCCAUCA